UACGUAGGGGGCAAGCGUUGUCCGGAUUUAUUGGGCGUAAAGAGCGUGUAGGCGGCCAGACAGGUCCGUUGUGAAAACUCGAGGCUCAACCUCGAGACGCCGAUGGAAACCCCCUGGCUAGAGUCCGGAAGAGGAGAAUGGAAUUCCUGGUGUAGCGGUGAAAUGCGCAGAUAUCAGGAAGAACACCCGUGGCUAAGGCGGUUCUCUAGUACGGUACUGACGCUGAGACGCGAAAGCGUGGGGAGCGAACAGG
rnacentral:rRNA from 1 species